UAUCGAACAAAAGUAUCGUACUUAUUUGAAUUUAUUCGUUACGAUGUUCCAAGGUAAGUAACCUCGUUUUUUACUUGACCAAAAGUUUAAUUUACAUUUAAAAUGUGAUUCAGCAAAAAACAUUUCACGACCACUGGCCGACAUGAAAUAACAGCGAUACUUUCGUUACGUAAAAAUGCAGCAAUACCUGCAACCCGAUGUAACCACAACGUCGAAUCGAGUGAAAUAACGGCAGAGCUGUAAAAAUGGAACGAGUCGAAGGACAACGAUUAUCAACGAUCAAGAAGAAAAAGAAGCGUGCGAAGAAGGCACAGGAAACGAGGAACGUCAAUAGGGGCGAAUACCAUGAAAAUCUUGGACGUGAUUCAUCCGUACAAUGGCCGUGCUCAAUUACGUAGCUGAACAAAUUGCACAAUUCGAUGAGACUCGGAAUAGACGUUCUCGUAUUGCAGGUGUUUUCCAUACCGUGUAUUUACACGUAUUAAGUACGGGAAUUACUCAUUGACGACGCAUGAAUCAGAGAGUCAUUGAACGUUGGGAAAAACUAUCUGAAAUAGUGGAAGAAUUAACGUAUGCAUGUAUUUUUUAGUUCUUUUUAGUGAAAGCAAGCGCGGUUCGGAAGAAAUCCAAAAAUACCAACAUAACCUCGUGUCAAAGCAGAAAGCAUUUUAUCGGCCCUACUAUCAAAAAACAAUAAUAAAAAAGGACCAAGGUAUGGUUGUUUCGCGACGACAUUUCAUCUCGCCAAACUAUCAUCAUCAACGGCUUUAUUUUUAGAUUAACGUGUGAUCAUCCAUCGAGGUGACCUACGAAUAAGCAGGCAUCAAGAACGAUCGCGAGGUCAUCGGCUGGGAAUCAAGUGUACGACCGAUCGAUACACACAGAAUCUCGAACGAAAGCUACCCAGGGAGCCAUUCCUAGUGGGCAUGUGCGAAAUUCAUACUCCAUCGAUGGACAGUUCUCGAUUACCUGAUCGAUUCAAUUCUCUCUGAUCUUUGGAUCAUUUCAAACGGUCAAUCUUACCAUGCUUGAAACCGAGUUUAACGAAAUAACAAACUUCAGCGUUCCCGAACGAGCAAACGGUUUUAUAUUCUACCACAACGAAAUUACCGGUAUAAUUUUCCAAUUACGGGAAACGAAGUUUUCCUCGGGGAAAAUCAAUUGCUGAAGAAGCGACUGGUCUCUGUAUCCACGUACAUGCUUUCCUGCAAAACUUUUGUUUUCGAAAAUGCUGCCACGAUGCGAAGAUUAAGAGUAUGAUCGUUGCAAGCUGUUUAAGGAAAAUGACGAGCGUAGAUAAACGCAAGAUUAGUCGGAGCCCCAUUUUUCAAUACUUAUAGAAGGUACUUCAACAUAAAUAUGUGAUAUAAAACUUGAGAAAAGGACGCUCGAUAAUGACAUCAUUGAUAGGAAUUCGUUUCGCUAUCUAAAUUAGCAGACCGGAAGAAAGACCGUAAGUUCCGUUCCAUUCCAUUCCAUUCCACUAAAACGGAAACAACAGCCUCUCCAACAUUUUUAUUUGCAAGAAUCUAAAGGAACGUUAGGUAAAUAUAUUAAUCAAUCGACAGGUUGCACAAAGAUCUUUAUGAUAAUCUUUUUUUAAUCC